rnacentral:lncRNA from 1 species
CCCAGUGGUGGUUGUAGCAGCCCUGGACUCCAGGCAGAAGCCAACUGCCCCAUCUGUCGGGAUUACAUGAGUGACCCCGUCACCAUCAAAUGUGGGCACAACUUCUGUCACUCCUCCAUCAAGCAGCGCUGGGUGGAUUUAUAGGACAGCUUCCCUUGCCUGUCCGGUGUCACCAGUGCCAAGAGGGCCACUGCAGGAGCAACACCCUGCAGGGAAGGACGACUGAAACUCCCGAGAUACUCCACAUCACCGGGAACAAAAUGAAGAGGCAGGCACCAAAGUGUUGUGCAAGGAGCACUAUCGGAUCCUGACCCUUUUCUGUGAGGAAGACCUAGAGGUGUGACGUCUCCUGUGUACUCAGCCCUCUGACCACCAGGGUCAGUCACCACUUGAGGCCCAGAGAGAAAGCUGCCUCUCAUCACCAGAAGAGGCUCAGCAGUUACAUUAAGUCUCUGGAAAGGAAAGUUGUAGACAGUGCAAAAUUAGUAGCCACUCAAGAUAGAAAACCUUUACAACUGAGAAAUAGGGUGAAAAACCAGAUACAGACAUCCUUC